CCGGCCUGGCUGCGAGAGUGCACAGUCUGGCCAUGGACCGGCUGCAAACUGGUGUAGGGGUGUUGAGGCGCGGGCGGCCGAGGCGUCGGCGCCAGCCCCAGCCACGUGGCGGGUCGAUCCUGGCCCUGCCCUUGAGACCCAGGAAGAUACGGAGGCAGCUGAGAAGAAGUGCAGCGUCCCGCAUGGCAGCGCUGAGAGUCCAGACGCUGCCAAGCGAGGACUUGGAGGACUCGAGAGUGGAGUCCACCGCCAACGAUCUGGAGGACGCACUGCCUAGCGGGACAGCAGUGGCAGCCAUCCCGGACGCAGCCCGGCGAGAGCCCUACGGCCAUCUGGGGCCUGCAGAGCUGCUGGAAGCCUCGCCCGCCGCGCACUCCCUGCAGACCCAGCCAGCGCGUCUUGUUGAAGCGCAGACCCCACCAGUGCGCUUCCUGCCAGCUUUGGCGGCUGCGCCGGCCCGCAUGGUGGAGAACUCUGCCCUGCUGUGCACAGCCAAGCACUUGGGGGCCGCCCCACAUUCCGGGGCCCCUGCGACGUUGUCAGGACCGGAGGUGGAUAGCACCGGUGGAGAGCUGUCCUGGGACUCCCCGCUGCAGCGCGUCUUGAUGGAGCUGAACCGCAUCCCCAGCAGCCGGCGGCGAGCAGCACACCUCUUUGAGUGGCUCAUCGCGCCAAUGCCGCCAGAUCAUUUCUACCGGCGCUUGUGGGAGCGGGAGGCGGUGCUAGUGCGGCGGCAGGACCGCACUUACUACGAGGGCCUUUUCUCUACUGCCGAUAUGGACUCAAUACUGCGUAACGAGGAGGUGCAGUUCGGGCAGCACUUGGACGCCGCGCGCUACAUCAAUGGGAGGCGCGAGACCCUGAACCCGCCCGGCCGCGCCUUGCCAGCCGCCGCGUGGUCCCUGUACCAGGCCGGCUGCUCUCUGCGCCUCCUGUGUCCGCAGGCUUUCUCGACCACUGUGUGGCAGUUUUUGGCCGUACUCCAAGAGCAGUUUGGAAGCAUGGCAGGCUCCAACGUUUACCUCACGCCCCCCAAUUCGCAGGGCUUUGCCCCUCACUACGACGACAUCGAAGCUUUCGUGCUGCAGCUGGAAGGUAGGAAACUCUGGCGUGUCUACCGACCCCGGGUCUCAGCUGAGGAACUGGCCCUGACAUCUAGCCCUAACUUCAGUCAGGAUGACCUCGGUGAGCCGGUGCUGCAGACCGUCCUGGAACCUGGAGAUUUGCUUUAUUUUCCUCGGGGCUUCAUUCACCAAGCUGAAUGCCAGGAUGGAGUCCACUCCCUGCACCUGACCUUGUCCACGUACCAGCGCAAUACCUGGGGAGACUUUCUAGAGGCUGUACUGCCUCUGGCUGUGCAGGCUGCAAUGGAAGAAAACGUGGAGUUUCGGAGGGGUCUUCCCCGAGACUUUAUGGAUUACAUGGGGGCCCAGCAUUCUGAUUCUAAGGAUCCACGAAGAACUGCUUUCAUGGAGAAGGUCCGGGUCUUGGUUGCCAGGCUGGGACACUUUGCUCCUGUUGAUGCUGUGGCUGACCAGCGAGCUAAAGACUUCAUCCAUGAUUCUCUGCCCCCUGUUUUGACUGAUAGGGAGAGGGCACUAAGUGUUCACGGGCUCCCGAUUCGCUGGGAGGCUGGACAACCUGUAAAUGUGGGGGCCCAGUUGACAACAGAAACAGAAGUCCACAUGCUUCAGGAUGGGAUAGCUCGUCUGUUGGAAGAAACUUUCUCAAAUCUGGUCUCAUGGUUGGUGGAAAAGUGCCUGGUGUACCAGAAAGAGCACUGGACUUGGAACCAGAAGACCUGGGUUUGGGGUGGUAUCUGGUAGGCAGCUGACUGAGUGACCUGAAGCUACUGCUACGCUUGGGCACACAGAUUUUGGUCUCCUAAGUUUUCCAGGAUGGUCUUGAAUUUCUGGCCUCAAACAAUCCUCCUGCCUCAGCCUUCUGUUUCAGGAGCUCCAGGUCACUGUCAGAGAGGUGGUCAAACCUGCACUGGCUGUAGGGAACACUGGACAGCCCUCGCUGCCACACCACCUCCUCAGAGAAGGUAAAGGGUCCAGGAGUCGGGCUGCUUGGAAUUUCUGAAGGGGUGGACUCUGCCUUUCCAUGGCCUCUUCCCUGAAGGGCAUCACGGCUGCUGUCAUAAUCAAUGGCUCUGUGGCCAAUGUUGGGGGAACCUUACACUACAAGGGUGAGACCCUGCCCCCUAUUGGCAUCAACAAAAAUCAAAUCAAGGUGACCAAAGAUGGCUUUGCAGACAUUGUGGAUGCCCUGAAUAGCCCUCUGGAAGGACCUGACCAGAAGAGCUUCAUUCCUGUGGAAAGGGCUGAGAACACCUUCCUGUUCCUUGUAGGUCAGGAUGACCACAACUGGAAGAGUGAGUUCUAUGCUCAUGAGGCCUCCAAACGCUUACAGGCCCACGGGAGGAAAAAGCCCCAGAUCGUCUGUUACCCAGGGGCAGGGCACUAUAUUGAGCCUCCUUACUUCCCCUUAUGCUGGGCUUCCCUGCAUACUUUGGUGGGCAGUCCUGUCAUUUGGGGAGGGGAGCCCAGGGCUCAUGCCAUGGCCCAGGUGGAUGCCUGGGAGCAGCUCCAGACUUUCUUCCACAAACACUUGGGUGGCAAAGAGGGGACAAUUCCAGCAAAACAUGUUUGAUUGCGUGGCAUCUCUGCUGCUAAUCUUUCCUGGGAACAGCUGCCACAAUUGGCGUCUAUAUGUGUAUUCUUUUUUCUUUCUAAUAACUACUUAGAACCAUUUUCCUCCUCACUGUUAAAAUGAAUUUACCAGUAA